UGUGAAAAGACAAGAUUCCAGAGCGAAUGAGGAACAUCGGCCCAAAUGCUUUCUGAGAAAAAUAUAUGGGCAUUAUAUUAGUGGUGAGUGCUGUCAAGAUGGAGUUGAGAAAGCUACAUUAAAAAAUAGAAAGGAGGAGGCAUAGAGGCAUUUAAAUAUGAGUAUGAACUAAAGAUUUUUUGUCUAGAAGAGGAAGAUGUUAACAGUCCAUACGCAUGCAAUGGGACAGGUCGGUUAGUGGAAGAUGGCCCAGCAUCACUGGUGAAGGGCCAUGUUGCGCUUUAACCUCAUAAAGAUCAUCACUUUAGGGCAUGGAGGAGGAAAAUAUCUUCACGGAAAGAGAAAAAAAUAAAAAGAAGGCCAUCAAGAAGAUUGUUGGAACAAGAAUUUCAUGCUGAGGGGCUUGUUUUAGGUGGGUGUGCUUAUAACCAAAGGGUGGGAAGAGGCGACUAGUACC